UGGGGAAUAUUGCACAAUGGGCGAAAGCCUGAUGCAGCAACGCCGCGUGAGUGAUGAAGGUCUUCGGAUUGUAAAGCUCUGUCUUUUGGGACGAUAAUGACGGUACCAAAGGAGGAAGCCACGGCUAACUACGUGCCAGCAGCCGCGGUAAUACGUAGGUGGCGAGCGUUGUCCGGAUUUACUGGGCGUAAAGGGUGCGUAGGCGGAUGUUUAAGUGAGAUGUGAAAUACCCGGGCUUAACUUGGGUGCUGCAUUUCAAACUGGAUAUCUAGAGUGCAGGAGAGGAGAAUGGAAUUCCUAGUGUAGCGGUGAAAUGCGUAGAGAUUAGGAAGAACACCAGUGGCGAAGGCGAUUCUCUGGACUGUAACUGACGCUGAGGCACGAAAGAGUGGGUAGCAAACAGGAUUAGAUACCCUGGUAGUCCACGCCGUAAACGAUGAGUACUAGGUGUAGGAGGUAUCGACCCCUUCUGUGCCGCAGUAAACACAUUAAGUACUCCGCCUGGGAAGUACGAUCGCAAGAUUAAAACUCUAAAGUGAA
rnacentral:rRNA from 1 species